GACGAACGCUGGCGGCGUGCUUAACACAUGCAAGUCGAACGAAGUGGCGAACGGGUGAGUAACGCGUAAUCAACCUGCCCUUCAGAGGGGGACAACAGUUGGAAACGACUGCUAAUACCGCAUACUGAAGGAGGGGAUUGCGGUUGAUUGGCUAGGUGGAGGGGUAACGGCCCACCAAGGCGAAGAUCAGUAGCCGGGCUUGGAGGAUUGACGGCCAAAUUGGGACUGAGAACAGGCCCAGACUCCUUCGGGAGGCAGCAGUGGGGAAUCAUCCGCAAUGGACGGAAGUCUGACGAAGCAACGGCGCGGGAGUGGUGACGGCCUUCGGGUUGUAAAGCUCUGUUAAUCGGGACGCGGUACCGGAAUAGAAAGCCACGGCUAACUACGUGCCAGCCGCCGCGGUAAUUC
rnacentral:rRNA from 1 species